rnacentral:rRNA from 1 species
UACGGGGGGAGCAAGCGUUGUUCGGAAUUACUGGGCGUAAAGAGCGCGUAGGCGGCCACGACAAGUCAGUUGUGAAAUCUCUGGGCUUAACUCAGAACGGUCCACUGAUACUGUCGGGCUAGAGUGCAGAAGGGGCAACUGGAAUUCUCGGUGUAGCGGUGAAAUGCGUAGAUAUCGAGAGGAACACCGGCGGCGAAGGCGGGUUGCUGGGCUGACACUGACGCUGAGGCGCGAAAGCUAGGGGAGCGAACGGG